GAUGUAACGAACAAUUUGUAAAAAGAAUUUUGUCGCUAUCUUUUUUUGUUACGAAGGAGAUGCACACACAUGAUAAACAGUGAAUAGGGAGAUAACUCUUACAGAGAAAAUUGUUCGUCUUAGCAGGGUGAAAUUUAAAAGCGCAUAAACUAUACGAUACAAUAUGAGAAAUAUCUAAGCGACAUAUUGCGAAACAAACAUUUAUCGCAAGAACAAAAUUUGGCGGAAAAAAAAAAAAAAUAAUAAUAAUAAUAAUAAUAA
rnacentral:lncRNA from 1 species